rnacentral:rRNA from 1 species
GAUGAACGCUGGCGGCGUGCCUAAUACAUGCAAGUCGAGCGAACGGACGAGAAGCUUGCUUCUCUGAUGUUAGCGGCGGACGGGUGAGUAACACGUGGAUAACCUACCUAUAAGACUGGGAUAACUUCGGGAAACCGUAGCUAAUACCGGAUAAUAUUUUGAACCGCAUGGUUCAAAAGUGAAAGACGGUCUUGCUGUCACUUAUAGAUGGAUCCGCGCGGCAUUAGCUAGUUGGUAAGGUAACGGCUUACCAAGGCAACGAUGCAUAGCCGACCUGAGAGGGUGAUCGGCCACACUGGAACUGAGACACGGUCCAGACUCCUACGGGAGGCAGCAGUAGGGAAUCUUCCGCAAUGGGCGAAAGCCUGACGGAGCAACGCCGCGUGAGUGAUGAAGGUCUUCGGAUCGUAAAACUCUGUUAUUAGGGAAGAACAUAUGUGUAAGUAACUGUGCACAUCUUGACGGUACCUAAUCAGAAAGCCACGGCUAACUACGUG